rnacentral:rRNA from 1 species
UACAGAGGGUGCGAGCGUUGUCCGGAAUCACUGGGCGUAAAGGGUGAGUAGGUGGCUUGGUAAGCGUGUGGUGAAAGUCCGGGGCUCAACCCCGGAUCUGCCGUGCGAACUGCCAGGCUUGAGCAAUGUAGUGGCAGGUGGAAUUUCGGGUGUAGCGGUGGAAUGCGUAGAUAUCCGAAAGAACACCAGUGGCGAAGGCGGCCUGCUGGGCAUUUGCUGACACUGAAUCACGACAGCGUGGGGAGCAAACAGG